CAACGGUAGAGUACUCGGCUUUUAAGUGCG
rnacentral:tRNA from 1 species